ensembl:lncRNA LINC02687 long intergenic non-protein coding RNA 2687
AGUGCGUCCAAGGUCAGCCAUUGCCCAGCCUUGCAUACUGAACGGGGCUGUCGCUUUUGAGGACUGUCCUGCCCCUACCACCACAGACCUGGGGUGAAGUGGUGGGGGUGGGGGGCUCCGAGCCCUCCAGAGCCUGUAGAGGCCUGAUGACUGCACACCAGGCCCCUUAGCAGACACAGGAGAGGGGGGAGGUGAUGCCUCUGUGCACCAGCACCCAGUGUGAAGAACUGGAAACGUAUUUAUCAUCCUAAAGAGCCUCUUUGAAAAGGAGGAAGAGCUCGCAAAGGGUGACGGCAGAGAGAUGCCCAGAAUCUUGCAGGAGGAAGGAGAAUGCAGCCUAACUUGCUGGAAGGAUUCAGGAGACGUGUGAGUAAGAGCCAAGAUUUCCCAGAUCAGCCUACAGCCAAGAUAAGCACAGCUUUCUACCCAACCUGCACCUCACCACAGAGAAUGGAAGAAUCACUCAGCCAUCCUGUAUAUUGUAGCAAUAAUGUAUGGUUAUUUUUUCUAGGCACUGAGUUUUGGGAUGAUUUGUUAUGCAGCAACAGCUGGCUGCUACAGAGAUUGUGCCCACCCUCACAGCCCCCUGGAUCUGUGUGCUCGCACUGAGUUUUGGGAUGAUUUGUUAUGCAGCAACAGCUGGCUGCUACAGAGAUUGUGCCCACCCUCACAGCCCCCUGGAUCUGUGUGCUCUCACUGAAAAGCAAAAGUAACUUCUGUUUUUCUCUUCUCUGUGGCCACCAGGGCUGCUGCCCAAACAGAAAGGCAAUUUGCUUAGUGGUGGAGGUUGUGACCUCCAGAGUCAGACAGUCCUGGAAUCCUAUCCCAGCUGUGUGACCUGCAGUUGGCUUCUUAACCACUCUGUGCCUCAGUGUCUCCAUCUACAAAAGGCACAGUUUCUACCCCAUCAGGUUGUGGUAAGGACUAGAAAAGACAUUGGAAGUAAAGUGCAUGACACCAAAGUGCUCCAAA